CCUGAGUAGCUGGGAUUACAGGUGCCUGCUACCACGCCCAGGUCUCUACUAAGAAGACACCUUAUCGGAGAGACUUUCUUUGGCCAUCACAUAUCAAAUAGCAGCCUUCCCACAACACUAUUUACUUCUUUAAUUUCCUUUAUUUUUCUGCACUCAACCAUAUCUGAUGUAUAUUUCUCCUAAGAUUUAAAUACCAGAACGAAAUUUUGUGUGCAUUGUUUGAACUUAUACAGUACCUUAAAGAGUGGCUGACUCAGUGACUAAUAAACAUUUUUUGACUAAAUGAAUGAAUAAAUAUCUCGGCAACAUACAAUUA